rnacentral:rRNA from 1 species
CGGCCGCGAAUCGCCCUUUUCCGGUUGAUCCUGCCGGAGGUCACUGCUAUCGGGGUUCGACUAAGCCAUGCGAGUCACUGGUCCUUGUGGCCAGGGCGGACGGCUCAGUAACACGUGGGUAACCUGCCCUCAGGACGGGGAUAACCCCGGGGAACUGGGGAUAAUACCCGAUAGGCAGAAGCAUCUGGAAUGAUCUUCUGCCCAAAUCCUUCGGGGCCCGAGGAUGGGCCUGCGGCCGAUUAGGUUGUUGGCGGUGUAAUGGACCACCAAGCCGAAGAUCGGUACGGGCACUGAGAGGUGGAGCCCGGAGAUGGAGACUGAGACAAGGCUCCAGGCCCUACGGGGCGCAGCAGGCGCGAAAACUCCGCAAUGCGCGAAAGCGUGACGGGGGAACCCUGAGUGCGCCCGCGCAAGCGGGUGCUUUUGCAGAGUGUAAACAGCUCUGCGAAUAAGAGCGGGGUAAGACCGGUGCCAGCCGCCGCGGUAACACCGGCCGCUCGAGUGGUGAUCGCUAUUAUUGGGCCUAAAGCGUCCGUAGCCUGUCCUGUAAGUCCCCGGGUAAAUCCAUUCGUUUAACGGAUGGAAUUCUGGGGAUACUGCUGGACUCGGGGGCGAGAGAAGUCAGAGGUACUCCGGGGGUAGCGGUGAAAUGUUGUAAUCCUCGGGGGACCACCAGUGGCGAAGGCGUCUGACUAGAGCGCGCCCGACGGUGAGGGACGAAAGCUAGGGGAGCGAACGGGAUUAGAUACCCCGGUAGUCCUAGCCGUAAACGCUGCGGGCUAGGUGUUACGUCCUCUACGUGGGGGCGUAGUGCCGAAGAGAAGUUGAUAAGCCUGCCCGCUGGGAAGUAUUACCGCAAGGUAGAAACU